CGGGCGACGCGGCGGUCUAAGUCCCUUGGAACGGGGCGUCAUAGAGGGUGAGAAUCCCGUAUGCGACCGGUGGCGGAGCCCAUGCGAAACCCCUUCGACGAGUCGAGUUGUUUGGGAAUGCAGCUCCAAACGGGUGGUAAAUUUCAUCUAAAGCUAAAUACUGGCCAGAGACCGAUAGCGCACAAGUAGAGUGAUCGAAAGAUGAAAAGCACUUUGGAAAGAGAGUCAAACAGUACGUGAAAUUGUUGAAAGGGAAGCGCUUGCAACCAGACCUGCCCGCGGGUGAUCAACCGUCCUUCGGGGCGGUGCACUCGCCCGCGAUCAGGCCAGCAUCGGUUCGGGCGGUCGGAUAAAGGCCCUGGGAACGUGGCUCCCUUCGGGGAGUGUUAUAGCCCUCGGCGCAAUGCGACCUGCCCGGACCGAGGACCGCGCUUCGGCGAGGAUGCUGGCAUAAUGGUUGUAAGCGGCCCGUCUUGAAACACGGACCAAGGAGUCGACCAACUAUGCGAGUGUUUGGGCGUCAAACCCACACGCGCAAUGAAAGUGAACGGAGGUGGGAACCCCUUCGCGGGGGCGCACCAUCGACCGAUCCAGAUGUCUUCGGAUGGAUUUGAGUACGAGCAUAGCUGGUCGGACCCGAAAGAUGAUGAACUAUGCCUGAAUAGGGUGAAGCCAGAGGAAACUCUGGUGGAGGCUCGCAGCGGUUCUGACGUGCAAAUCGAUCGUCAAAUUUGGGCAUAGGGGCGAAAGANUAAUNGAAUCAUC
rnacentral:rRNA from 1 species